CUCUCUCCCUCCCCGCCUCCCAGCCCGCCGGGUGUAAUCGUCCCUCUUCCGGAGAUGAACGCGAAGCGACGUGGAAACCCUUCCACCAAAAUGAGCUGUGAUAUCCUUUUGAUGGCUAUAAUUUAUUCCAAAUCGUCCCUGGACUGAAACGAUCAAUUAGCAGCCCGAAACGCACUGUGAAGUAAAUUGUCACACUCUCUAUUACAGGAUGGUUAUCAUAUAUUUAUAAGGUGUGUUUUCUGCAAUCAGAACCAACAAGGUGUUGAGCGAUCAGUCAUAAAUUCACUUCUUCAAAAAAAAGAGAGGGAGAGAAGCUUCAGUAUUGUAUGGCAGGGAAGAAAAAUCCUUAUGACAGUUAUCCCUCCCUCCCUAGUGACGCUUCCUCUAGUGAGGGCUCUGCACCGACUUCUCUCCGUCACUCACAGCCCCGGAGCAGUGGGAGCUGUGAACUAGCAGGAGAAUGGUAGUCCUCAGAGGAGAGGUUUCCCUACUGUGUAAGCACAGA
rnacentral:lncRNA from 1 species